rnacentral:lncRNA from 1 species
UACGUCCGCCAUCUUGAACGUUUUGAUCGGGGUUUGUCAAACUGCUUCACUAAACUGCCUUUAACGACGCCAGUUAACUAAUUUAAUUCGCAAUUAUACAUUUAUUCUGGCAAAGGAUAAACACAAGGACUAGAAAGAAAACUACUUGGUAUGUUUGCUCUAUCUUCCUAUUCUUCACAUUGGCAAAUAUGCUUGGACAAGCAGUUGAAAUUAAAGUUGGAAACAAGAGAUUUAACUGAGGAUCAAUGGAAUGGCAAACAAGGUUUAUUCGCAAGGUAUCAAGGCUGGGGAUUUGUAUCCUGUAAUGUGCAGAAAGAUUAGUAUAUAAUUAAAUGGAAAGGUUAAUUUUAUACAGGGAAAAAAUGCUCUGUGGAUACAUACAUAUAUAGACCAUUGCAUGCAUUAAUUUCCUAGUGGAAUUGUUUUGGGGGCAAAACAAUAGACGAAAACAAAUAUGCGAAAACAAUUCAUUUUUUAUCCCCAGAACAAUUCUAUUCCUCUCGGAACUCAGUGUAUUGAGGGCUGUUAAGGGCUGUAUUUUUUUGGUCCUUUAGUACACGGGUGUGAACAGUGCUGUAAACUGCUUGUGUGUCAUGAGUAGAGAGUCGGGGUUCAUCCCAUAAACAAAGGUGGUCCAUACUAUGACAGACACGAUUUAUAGUGACUGGUAAAUUCAAAGGAUAGGAUAAGCUUGGGAGUAAAAAGAACAAACCCUGGUGUUUUUGAUCAAACAAAUAGCUUUGUGUUCGUGAUUUGCGAUGUUGAAAUGAAUCUAACUAAUUAUUAGCUGUAAAGAUCGCAUUCCUUUCAGUUGGACCACUGACCACAGCUGCGGCAAAACUCCAUCUAUUGUAGAAUUAUCUAUCUUUGGGUGCAACGUCGGAACAUUCUGUACAUAGAAAUUUUCCUUUAUUGAACUUUUUUGUAAACUUUAAGAGUCCAUCAGAUCUACUGGGUGAACUUCUUUAUGAGUUCCAAAUAUAACAAUAAUUACAGUUCAUGGUUUGAAUAGAAAAUAUUUAUAGAAUACUUUACAUAUCUAUAUUUUUUAUAUUCAUAUCUACAUUGCUGAUAUUUAUGCUAUGACUGUGGCAGCCAUCUUGAAAAGUAACCAAGCCUUCAUAAUCAAUCAACGAUAUUUUAAUGCAUUGUGAUCAUUGAACGUUGUCAGUUGAUGAACCAGGAUGACUUGACUUUCAAAAGGGCCACCUCAGCUAUAGAAAGGACUGGCUGUUGGAAACUAAGACUGCGAACUUUCUUUGAAAUAAAGCUAUUGCUAAAACCACUGGGCCCGGUUGUACAAAGAGUGGAUAGCGUUAUCCGACGGAUAAAUCCAGUCUAAUUCAGUGGAUAAGUCGAUACUGAUAUCCAAUAAAUUUAUCUACUGCAUAAGAUUUAUCCAUCGAAUAGCGAUAUUCACCCUUCGUACAACUGGGCCCUGGCGGAGCUUGAGCCGACGCUCAAAGUAGUCAUUCGAUAUGCGACAUUCUGUGUCGAUCGUCGAAAUUUAUUUAAAUGAAAAACAGAAAUCCACGUUCCUGAGACUUCAUUUGUAUCACAUAAUAUUAAUAGAAUUUAUACCAAAGAUGUACUUUAUUAGAGGUUGGCUGAGCCAAAGAUUCAGCGGUUCUCGUGGGAACAUGGAGUCCGAAUUGAUAUCCAGCCUUCAUAAAUUUAAGUUUAGAGCUUGGUUCUCACUAGCGUCGGAAUCGGAAGCAACAUAGGCAAACUCAGUAGUUUACUGGUCAUGAACAGCACUUUUUUCACACCUAGAUAAUCAAUGCGACUUCCGAGUCUACAUGUUGUUUCAGAUUCCUAUUUCGACGCUAGAGCCGGACCCAGGCAACACAGAGUUUGAACAGUCAAUAGAUUACUAAUUUGAAUAUUUACAGCAUAAUAUUUGGCCGCAUAGCUGCUACUUAUUCGUUUUUCGUUUCAACAUUAUUUUUAUACCCGCGAGGUGCCGGGCUGCUCGCGAAAAAAAAAAAAAAAUAAAAUAAAAAA